AAGACUAUACUUUCAGGGAUCAUUUCUAUAGUUCGUUACUAGAGAAGUUUCUCUGAUCGUGUAGAGCACCCAAAUGAAGCA
rnacentral:snoRNA from 1 species